CAGCAUGAUCAUGUCGGCUCGUUGAUUGAGCUGAAUAAUACCAUUACAGAGUUAGAAUUGAAGCAUAAUUGCUGAUUCGUUGGAUUGAAAAAAGAAAAAGGUUUUGGAAAGGAAGACAAAACAUUAUCAAAUUCAAAGUCACGAUUUCGAUAUGAAGAUUCACAACAAGACAUCCUAGCUACCACAUAUUGAAGGCAAUGGAAUCCCAUUUGUGAUUGCUGGAAGGAAAGCGCUGGAGGGGAGAAAAGGAAAGAAAAAAAAAAGAAACUCAAAAGGAAGGAAAUGAGUCUCAUGAAACAGAUCAGUUACCAAAGAGAAGGCAGGUUGAUAAUACGCUGACAGAGCGGGUGGAGAAAUUAGAGAAGAUACCCAAAGUGGACACGGUAAAGGAGAUGAAGGAUUUAUUACGGUCUAGUGCAGAUCAACAAGAGCCCAAUGAGCAGUUGAUUUUGUGGAAUCUUGAUCGAUUGGUUAAGGUGGCGAGGAGGUACAACCAUGAAG